AUUCACUUCAGCGGCACAUAUACUAGACUUGAAAUAAUAUAAAAAUGGUUAGCAUGCCCCCUACAUGAAGAUAACACUGAAAUUUGAGAAGUGUACACAUUUUUA